rnacentral:rRNA from 1 species
UACGAAGGGGGCUAGCGUUGCUCGGAAUCACUGGGCGUAAAGGGUGCGUAGGCGGGUCUUUAAGUCAGGGGUGAAAUCCUGGAGCUCAACUCCAGAACUGCCUUUGAUACUGGCGAUCUCGAGUCCGGGAGAGGUGAGUGGAACUGCGAGUGUAGAGGUGAAAUUCGUAGAUAUUCGGAAGAACACCAGUGGCGAAGGCGGCUCACUGGACUGGUAUUGACGCUGAGGUGCGAAAGCGUGGGGAGCAAACAGG